rnacentral:snoRNA from 1 species
UAGUGCUCACCUCCCCUCAGCCACGCCUAGAGUAGAGAGGCCAGGCAUCCUCCCUGUGAGGGAGGCCUUCAAGUAAGGGGCCUCGCCUGGGCUAUCCAAGCCUCACAUUG